rnacentral:rRNA from 1 species
GUACACGCUGUGACUAGCAUAUCAAUAAGCGGAGGAAAAGAAACUAACAAGGAUUCCCCUAGUAACGGCGAGUGAAGCGGGAAGAGCUCAAAUUUGAAAUCUUAAAGGGUUUCCCUUUACGAAUUGUAGUUUAAAGAAGUGUUUUCUGUUGAGGUUUUGGUAAAAGUUCUUUGGAAUAGGACAUCAUAGAGGGUGAGAAUCCCGUAUUUGACCUUUACUUUCAACUUUGUGAUACACUUUCAAAGAGUCGGAUUGUUUGGGAAUGCAGUCCAAAAUGGGUGGUAAAUUUCAUCUAAAGCUAAAUAUUGGCGAGAGACCGAUAGCGAACAAGUACCGUGAGGGAAAGAUGAAAAGAACUUUGAAAAAGAGAGUUAAACAGUACGUGAAAUUGUCAAAAGGGAAGCGUUUGACACCAGUGUUGUUUUUCUGAAAAUCAAUUAAAGAACUGUUUAUGCUAAGCUGUUUAGACUUUAUCAGCUAAUCUGUUUAGUUUUGAGCUUUUCUUUAAUGCACUUUUCAGUUAACAAGUCAACAUCAAUUUCUUUUGCUGUAAAAAAGCUUGAGGAAGGUGGCUUGAGAUUCGUCUUAAGUGUUUAUAGCCUCUUGCCUAUGCAGUCGGAGAGAUUGAGGUCUGCAGCGUAGAUCCUUCGGGGCUAAAUGCAUUUGUGCUAAGUUAUAGCAUUUUAUAGACAACUUGUUGACUAUGAUUUGUCUUGUAGCUUACUCGCUUAUGUUAUUUUACCUACGCUUAGGAUGUUGAAGAUGUAGCACAUCAU